rnacentral:rRNA from 1 species
CUCGGCGUUCCGCGCCGCCGGAUAACCGUAGUAAUUCUAGGGCUAAUACGUGCGAAGCGCCCGAAGCCGCGAGGCGACGGGCGUUCUCGCCGGAUGUAAGAACCGACCCGGGGACCGCCGGGGCAACCCGGCGCCCCCGAGACGGGGCGAACCACGGUGAAAUGACGGAUCGUCGGCCCCGCGCCGGCGACUCGCCGAAUGAGUUUCUGACCUAUCAACUCGAGACGGCGGGGUAGAGGCCCGCCGCGGUAACGACGGGUAACGGGGAAUCAGGGUUCGAUUCCGGAGAGGGGAGCCCCGAGAAACGGCUACCACUUCCAAGGAAGGCAGCAGGCGCGCAACUUACCCUAAUCUCGAUUCGAGGAGGUAGUGACAAGAAAUACCGAUGCGGGACCCUACGGGUGCCGCGUUCGGAAUGAGUACGAUUCGAACCACCUAACGAGGAACGAUCGGAGG